AUCAGAUUUCACUGUCAGUCCUGCCAGUUCUUCAGUUGUCCAUAGAAUCUUCUGGGUAACAGAGGAUUAGACAAGACCUGGAUUCCUAAUGUGAAAAGCAAGCGGGGGACCCACUUUAAAAAUAACUUCACUGAUGCAGCCAUGUGUUUGCUCUCUCUAGCCAGCCUGCGCCACCCCAGCGAUGGGAGAGGGAGCUGAAGUCCAUUCUGCCUGGCUACAGCCUCGUGAGCUCCACGCUGCUGGGGUGUGACAGGGAAAAAGAGCUUGUCCGGAUUAGACCAGGUGGAAAUUUGCAGAUCCAGCCAUUGGAAAUGGCUCUUACUGACUGGUGUGAAGAUCCCAGUAACCUAAUCUGUGAUGGGCAAAAGGACACACACACGCAGAGUGAAAAGACAGCAGCGUGCCCUCCCCAUCCUCUCCCUUGGUGGAAAGAGCCCUGCUUGGAUGCGCUCAUGACAGUGAUUCUAUUUUGCUUCAUCUCAUGCACAGCCAGGUGCGUGGGCCCGCCUGCAGGAUCAGGUAGGGAGCAUCAUCUUCAUGUGAUGUGUGUGUUUGUGUAUCUAAAUAAGCAUGCUGGAAGCUUGAGGGAGGAGAGGUAAAGUUUAAACAGCCCCACCUCCUUUUGCAAUAGACAAGGAAAAGUUCUUCUUUAAACAGAUCACUGGCAUCUUCCUUGGCUGGCUUUUAAACAUGCACUGUAGCAGGUUGACUCAGCAUGUUUGAAUGGUAGAAACUGUAAUUAACCUUGUAGGCUUCCUGGCUGAAAGCAAACGCUUUAGUCUGACUGCUCUUGGCUGAUUUAACACAAACUCCAGCACCCUCUGGCCAGUGACAAGCGUUCGCAGUAGAUUAGUUGUAACUAGUACAACAUACAGCAGUUAGAAGCAGCGUAUUAGUGCAGGCUGGACUGUCCGAUUAAUCCACCCAUCUCUCCAAUCUUUUCACGUGACGUUACUGUUCUGGUGCCUUGCUGCUUCCACAGGUCUGUUCUAUUCCCUCCGAGCGCCUACCCAUCGUGCAUUAGGCACCGUGACUGACAUCUGUCACGCGUGAGUCAUUCUCGCCCCAGGGGGCGAGCUGUGUGUGUGGUGGAGUGUUUUGGUUUGGGUGACAAGAUUUUUGUUUUUUGAAAUGCCCAUCCUGCUCUGCGUUAGGUCGGGUUUAACCCAUCCCUCGUCUACUGGAAUGGUAGGCAGGUCAGAGGUCAUUACAAGAAAAAGUGCCCAGCGCUUCCCUUUACCAGCCAGCACCAGGCUGUAUUUGAAGGUGAGUCAUCACACACAC